rnacentral:rRNA from 1 species
UACGGAGGGGGUUAGCGUUGUUCGGAAUGACUGGGCGUAAAGCGCGCGUAGGCGGAUCAGGAAGUUGGGGGUGAAAUCCCGGGGCUCAACCCCGGAAUGGCCUUCAAGACUCCUGGUCUUGAGUUCGAGAGAGGUGAGUGGAAUUCCGAGUGUAGAGGUGAAAUUCGUAGAUAUUCGGAGGAACACCAGUGGCGAAGGCGGCUCACUGGUCCGACAUUGACACUGAGGCACGAAAGCGUGGGUAGCAAACAGG